AGAGUUUGAUCCUGGCUCAGGACGAACGCUGGCGGCGUGCCUAACACAUGCAAGUCGAACGGACGAGGGGAGCUUGCUCCCCAAGUUAGUGGCGGACGGGUGAGUAACACGUGAGCAACCUGCCCUUCGGAGGGGGACAACAGCGGGAAACUGCUGCUAAUACCGCAUAACGUAUUCUGGAGGCAUCUCCGGAAUACCAAAGAUUUUAUCGCCGAAGGAUGGGCUCGCGUCUGAUUAUAUAGUUGGUGGGGCUAGCGCGCCCACCCCGUCUGCAAUCACUAGCCGGACUGAGAGGUUGAACGGCCACACUGGGACUGAGAUACUGCCCAGACUCCUACGGGAGGCUGCAGUCGAGAAUCAUUCGCAAUGGGCGAAAGCCUGACGGUGCGACGUCGCGUGGAGGACGAAGGUCUUCGGAUUGUAAACUCCUGUCAUGAGGGAUAAACGGCCCCGUGGCGAACAGCCAUGGGGAGUGAUAGUACCUCAGGAGGAAGAGACGGCUAACUCUGUGCCAGCAGCCGCGGUAAUACAGAGGUCUCGAGCGUUGUUCGGAUUUACUGGGCGUAAAGGGAGCGUAGGCGGCCGCGUGUGUCGAAUGUGAAAUACCGCAACUCAACGGCGGAACGGCAUUCGAAACUGCGCGGCUGGAGUACCGGAGAGGAAGGCGGAAUUCUUGGUGUAGCGGUGAAAUGCGUAGAUAUCAAGAAGAACACCGAUGGCGAAGGCAGCCUUCUGGACGGAUACUGACGCUGAGGCUCUAAAGUCAGGGGAGCAAACAGGAUUAGAUACCCUGGUAGUCCUGACCAUAAACGGUGUGCACUUGGUGUGCGGGGAAUUGUCCCUCCGCGCGCCGUAGCCAACGCGUUAAGUGCACCGCCUGGGGAGUACGUCCGCAAGGUUAAAACUCAAAGGAAUUGACGGGGACCCGCACAAGCGGUGGAGCAUGUGGCUUAAUUCGAUGCAACGCGAAGAACCUUACCUGGACUUGACAUGCAGGUGGUAGGGAACCGAAAGGGGACCGACGGCGGCAACGCCGAGCCUGCACAGGUGCUGCAUGGCUGUCGUCAGCUCGUGCUGUGAGGUGUUGGGUUAAGUCCCGCAACGGGCGCAACCCCUGUGGCUAGUUGCCAUCAUUCAGUUGGGCACUCUAGCCAGACUGCCUGUGAUAAGCAGGAGGAAGGUGGGGAUGACGUCAAGUCAGUAUGGUCCUUAUGUCCAGGGCUGCACACGUGCUACAAUGACCGGUACAGAAGGAAGCGAAGCCGCGAGGCGGAGCGGACCCCCAAAACCGGUCCCAGUUCGGAUUGGAGUCUGCAACCCGACUCCAUGAAGCCGGAAUCGCUAGUAACGGCGUAUCAGCUACGACGCCGUGAAUACGUUCCUCGGGUCUUGCACACACCGCCCGUCA
rnacentral:rRNA from 1 species